GGAAAAUAUUUAAUUUUGUACUGGAAUUUGAACACUAGCUCGCUGCUGGGGAUUACAGUAUGAUCAGUAUCUCUCCUUUCCGUCGAUACUCCCUUAUUACUGCAAUAUACCCCAGUCGACCGGAAGAAGUCCUCGACCUCAGCAUACAUGAAGUCAUAGCAAGAAGCAGUGAAAGUCAUAGCAGAGAUUGGAUGGAGCAUAAUUUUUUUCUAUGUCUCGGCGCCUCUAUGGAUGUCAUAUUUAGAUCAGAUGCAAUCUGAGCCUUGUUCUGAAUUUCAAAAUCCCCUUGGACAACACCUGCACAGCUGAGAUAAUGUAAAAAUUGAGGACCACUGUCACCAAGAAAAGAUAAUCAAUUCAACUAACCAAUCAAGGACCUUCUGACUAAGGGCUGAAUUAUAGUGAACACUGCCAUUCAGAGACUUUGAAACAGAUUGAUGAAUCAACCACAUGCACUAUGUCAGAGGAAUCUAGCUGGAGCACCUAUUUAGCAGCCAGGACACAUAGAUGUACCUGUACUGUUGAUACAGAAAAUCUCAACGGCACAUUUCUAAAUGAUGGCUAAAAAACUCUAAUAAAGACACUUUCAGUUUAAAACUUUUUGAAAGAAAUCCAGACCAGAAACAAAGGAUAUUGAUUUUUAAGCUCCUCCAAAUGUAAAAGGGGUUUUAUUGAAACCAAGACCAGGAUAUACCCAAGGAUAUUUAAUAUUACACCCCUUCAACAUAAAAUUUUGAAUUUUAGUUUCCCUAUCUAGUCAAGAACAUGGAUUUUUUGACAUUUGAUACACUUUAUAAUGUUAUAUUUACAUUUUUUCGAGAUUUCUUUA